UAAUACGGGGGGAGCAAGCGUUGUUCGGAUUUACUGGGCGUAAAGGGCGCGUAGGCGGUCGAACAAGUCACUUGUGAAAUCUCUGGGCUCAACCCAGAGCGGCCAAGUGAUACUGUUUGACUGGAGUGCAGAAGGGGCCAUUGGAAUUCUCGGUGUAGCGGUGAAAUGCGUAGAUAUCGAGAGGAACACCAGCGGCGAAGGCGGAUGGCUGGGCUGACACUGACGCUGAGGCGCGAAAGCUAGGGGAGCGAACGGGAUUAGAUACCCCGGUAGUCCUAGCCUUAAACGAUGGAUGCUUGGUGUCCGAGGUGAUGAAGUCCUCGGGUGCCGGAGCUAACGCGAUAAGCAUCCCGCCUGGGGAGUACGGUCGCAAGACU
rnacentral:rRNA from 1 species